UUAUUAAUACCCCCAAAAGCACUCGAUAUUUAAUUAAACAAACCAUUUUUCCCCCUAAGUAUGGGUGACAGAAAAGAAACAUUUAGAGCCAUAGAAAAAGUACCGCAAGGGAAUGCUGAAAAAGAAGUGAAACAAUUCAGUAAAGUUUAAAAAAGCAGAGAUUUACACUCGUACCUUUUGCAUCAUGAUUUAGUCAGUAAAAACAAGCAAAAGGUCCUCUAGUUUGUCUCCCCGAAACUAAGUGAGCUACUCCAAGACAGCCUAAAAUAGGGCUAACCCGUCUCUGUGGCAAAAGAGUGGGAUGAGCUUAGAGUAGAGGUGAUAAACCUACCGAACUUAGUUAUAGCUGGUUGCCUGAGAAAUGAAUAGAAGUUCAGCUUUUUGGUUUCUCCCUCCAACCUGCUUAGCUUCAACCGAACCAAAGAAACCAAAAAAGUUAAUUAAAGGGGGUACAGCUCCUUUAAACAAGAUACAACUUCACCAGUCGGGUAAAGAUCACAUACAAUCAAGGUAAAAUGUUUUAGUGGGCCUAAAAGCAGCCACCUAUAAGAAAGCGUCAAAGCUCCUUCAUACCACCACCCCCAAAUUCAGAUAACCCACCCUAAACCCGCUAAUUUUAUCAAGCCGCCCCAUGCUUUCAUGGGGGUGAUUAUGCUAAAAUGAGUAACAAGAAAAGUCACCUUUUCUCCUUGCACUCGUGUAAAUCGAAACGGACUCCCCAUCGAACAUUAAUCGGCCCCAAAAAAAGAGGGUAAUGAAUUAUCAACCCCAGUAACAAGAAAAACACUCAAAUAUUGACCGUUAAUCUCACACUAACAUGCUUACAAGGAAAGACUAAAAGAAAAAGAAGGAACUCGGCAAACACAAGCCUCGCCUGUUUACCAAAAACAUCGCCUCUUGAAAACUUACCAUAAGAGGUCC
rnacentral:rRNA from 1 species